CCUCCGGUUCGAAAUACUCGUCGCGCUGGUCAAUUUGCAAAAACACCCACCCCUUUAUUCCGACACAACCCGCGAUCCUCGCCGCUGCUCUCGCCCCCUCCCGUGACUCUGCUUGCUCCGCCGCGCCAUCGUCGGCCUCCGUGCAGCUCGCCCGCGCCUUCCUCCCGCUCCCUCCUCCCUGCGUAGCUCCUCCGCCCCCUUCUCUACGCAGCUCGCCCGCUCCCUCCUCCGGCUUACUCCUCUGCGUAGCUCCCCCUCUCACUCCAUUGGGAAAAAUGGCAUCUUUCUCCUCUGCAGAACACAGCGCCGCCUAGCACUUCGCCAUGGACGCGCUCAGCUUCGUGGUACCGCGGAUCCUCCUCUUCGCUGUCACCCACGGCUCCGGGGUGUUCAUAGUGCCCUGCCGCAUCCCGCAAGGGCUCCGGGGUGGCUGGAGAUCUGUGGCGGUGGAGGGGAUCGUGCUGUCACCUCGCCGGACGGCUACAAGAAGGUCACCAUAUGAAGACCGCCUUCUUCAUCACCGCUCUAGAGUGGGCUUCAGACUGUUUGUGUGUUUCCUUAUCUUUCCCCAUUUGAACCUUCUCCGCAAGGUAGAAUAUGGUACAUCCAGAGACCUAGCGAGUGCCCUCAGUGUAGACCUUUUGUUGAGGGGAAUUGAAGGUAUCCUCGAGAGAUCAAGGAACUCAGUUAACAACAUGUUAUUGGAACUACUCCAAGAACAGAACAGAAUGGCAUGUUAAUGUCAGUUAACAACAUGUUAUUACUUCCAAGAACAAAACAGCAAAACAAAAGGUUUUGAUUUGCUUGCAGAUUUGUGAGUGUGAUCUUCAGAGUGUGAUUUGACAGUCUUCAGAGUGUGAUCACCAUUUCCUUGAUGAACACAACAGAGAGGAACCAGUUGACAGGAACAUCAAAGGAUCAAGAGGACAGUAGCCGCUGCCCGCUGCGUCGAGAGGAUCAAUAGGAGCAGCAGAUUAAUCACAGUUCAAAUCGCUCCAGCCUUGUGGUAUUUAGAGCACAAAUUCACGCCAAGAGGAGCAGAUGAUCAAUUCGAGUUGUCGGAGCUAUGAACGCCGGAGCAGCGGCGAAGGGUAAGGGAGCUGCGGACGCGGAGCAGCGGCAGAGGGUUAAGGAGCUGCGGACGGCGGAGCAGCGGCGGACCUUGGGCUCUCGAUUGGAGCGGAGGGUGGCGCCGGCGAGGGACCUGCGGCCGGCGGGGAAGGAUGUCGAUGUUGCGGCGGAGGGUGAGGGAGCUGCGGACGGCGGAGCAGCGCAGCAACGGCAGACCUCGGUGACGGAGCUCUCAAUUGGAGUGGAGGCAGGCAGCCGGCGGGGAAGGACAACGGCGCUGCGGCGGAGGGAGACAGAGCUGCGGAUGGCGGAGCAGCGCAGCAACAGCCGAAAUCAGGCUCUUGAUUGGGGCGGAGGUAGGCGGCCGGCGGGGAAGGACGGCGGAGCAGCGAAGGAGCUUCCAAGCCACGGGACGAGGGCCAGGAUGGAGAAGAUUCAAAACCGGGAGGACCUUUUUGCAAAAUGUUAUUUCUAUAGCGCUCGCGACAAGUAAUUGGAACCGGAGGGAGUACAAACAUACAACAAUUUCACUUAGUUGCCGUGGCCCACGGGCAAAAGAGGAACAAUAUAUCUAGAGUUCUAGACAUAAUUCCAAAUAUGGUUCAUGUGCAUGUAUGACUGUUGUGUUACAAUUGUAUGCAUGCUUUUUCCAAACAGUGACAUAGCUCCAAAAAAAAAUAUUUGUACACAUUGUGUCA